rnacentral:rRNA from 1 species
UACGUAGGUGGCAAGCGUUGUCCGGAAUUAUUGGGCGUAAAGCGCGCGCAGGCGGUCCUUUAAGUCUGAUGUGAAAGCCCACGGCUCAACCGUGGAGGGUCAUUGGAAACUGGGGGACUUGAGUGCAGGAGAGAAGAGUGGAAUUCCACGUGUAGCGGUGAAAUGCGUAGAGAUGUGGAGGAACACCAGUGGCGAAGGCGACUCUUUGGCCUGUAACUGACGCUGAGGCGCGAAGGCCAGGGGAGCGAACGGG